UCCGAGAAGUAAAGAAACCCGUACAAGCAAGAUGAAUUCAGCAGAUGGCUUCACUCACUUCCAUUCAUUUGAGUUCUGGUCAUCUACAGAAUCAUGCAACUUGUUCAUGACACAGAGACAAUAGAUCAAAAUGUCACAGCAACAGAUUUUUAUUCUUCACAUGCUGAGGUGUGCAGGUUCUGCUAAUGCAUCAUCUUGGUGCCAUGUUGGACAUUUAUCAAAUAUAUGAAAUCAUUUAUUUAUGUGCUGACCCGUGCAUUUCCAUGUCAUGUGUCUGGGUGCACACCUGCAUGUGACCCUGUGACCCUGGUUAAAAGAUGAGUAAUCAGUUGUGUGAUGGUGAUGACACUGUGAUCUUGAAGGGGGGGUGAGGAUCAUGGAGUGAGGAAGAGGAUGGGGUCUGAAUCAUAGGAAGCUGUUUGAGCGAUCCUCAAAAUAAAAUCCACAAUGAAAAUACUA